rnacentral:rRNA from 1 species
UACGAAGGGGGGCUAGCGUUGCUCGGAAUUACUGGGCGUAAAGGGCGCGUAGGCGGCGCUGCAAGUCAGGCGUGAAAUUCCUGGGCUUAACCUGGGGGCUGCGCUUGAGACUGUGGGGGCUAGAGGAUGGAAGAGGCUCGUGGAAUUCCCAGUGUAGAGGUGAAAUUCGUAGAUAUUGGGAAGAACACCGGUGGCGAAGGCGGCGAGCUGGUCCAUGACUGACGCUGAGGCGCGAUAGCGUGGGGAGCAAACAGG